GGGCUUGUGGCUUCCCAAAAGGCUUAAGGCCACUUUAAAUAUAGCCUCUGAUCCUUGAAGGAAAAGCAUAUCAAAUACUCUUGCGACAAAUCCCAGGGGAAACUGUGAGGCAAACAUGGUGAGAAACCAGGGAGCAGCAUAGAGGCUGGGGCCAAUCUCAUGUUCCUCAAGGUGGUUAUAGAGGUCUCGAUGGUAGUCAUGAAGAAGUCGGGACAGUUGAUACAUCUGGAUCUGUAGAAUUGUCAUGUCAGGACGAUACUGUUUUCUUAGCCCCACAUCGAACAUGAGAAACUUCAGCAUUUUAAAAGCAUCUUCUUCACUCAUAUGAAGUAGUAGAACUCCUGCUACAAAACUAAGUCCCUG
rnacentral:lncRNA from 1 species